rnacentral:rRNA from 1 species
AUUGAACGCUGGCGGCAGGCCUAACACAUGCAAGUCGAGCGAGCGGCGGACGGGUGAGUAAUGUAUGGGGACUGCCCGAUAGAGGGGGAUAACUACUGGAAACGGUGGCUAAUACCGCAUACUAUCGGAUAACCCAUAUGGGAUUAGCUAGUAGGUGGGGUAAAGGCUCACCUAGGCGACGAUCUCUAGCUGGUCUGAGAGGAUAGUCAUCCCCACUGGGACUGAGACAAGGCCAAGACUCCUCCUGAACCACCAUUUAUUAAUAUUGCACAAUUGGCGAAAGCCUGAUACAGCCAUGCCGCGUGUAUGAAGAAUACCUUAGGGUUUUAAAGUACUUGCAGCGGGGAGGCGUUACCCGCAGAAGAAGCAACGGCUAACUCCGUGCCAGCAGCCGCGGUAAUUC